rnacentral:rRNA from 1 species
AUUGAACGCUGGCGGCAUGCUUUACACAUGCAAGUCGAACGGUAACAGGCCGCAAGGUGCUGACGAGUGGCGAACGGGUGAGUAAUGCAUCGGAACGUGCCCAAUCGUGGGGGAUAACGCAGCGAAAGCUGCGCUAAUACCGCAUACGAUCUAUGGAUGAAAGCGGGGGACCGUAAGGCCUCGCGCGAUUGGAGCGGCCGAUGUCAGAUUAGGUAGUUGGUGGGGUAAAGGCUCACCAAGCCAACGAUCUGUAGCUGGUCUGAGAGGACGACCAGCCGCACGGGGACUGAGAAACGGCCCAGACUCCUACGGGAGGCAGCAGUGGGGAAUUUUGGACAAUGGGCGCAAGCCUGAUCCAGCAAUGCCGCGUGCAGGAAGAAGGCCUUCGGGUUGUAAACUGCUUUUGUACGGAACGAAACGGCUCUGGUUAAUACCUGGGGCUAAUGACGGUACCGUAAGAAUAAGCACCGGCCAACUACGUGCCAGCCGCCGCGGUAACAC